GGACUACUGGGGUAUCUAAUCCUGUUUGCUCCCCACGCUCUCGCAUCUCAGUGUCAGUCUGGUCCCAGGCGGACGCCUUCGCCACUGAUGUUCCUUCCGAUCUCUACGCAUUUCACCGCUACACCGGAAAUUCCACCGCCCUCUGACCGACUCUAGUUCAACAGUUUUCAACGCAAUUCCCAGGUUAAGCCCAGGGCUUUCACAUCAAACUUGUCAAACCACCUACAUGCGCUUUACGCCCAAUAAUUCCGAUUAACGCUCGCACCCUCUGUAUUACCGCGGCUGCUGGCAC
rnacentral:rRNA from 1 species